CCUACGGGAGGCAGCAGUGAGGAAUAUUGGUCAAUGGACGAGAGUCUGAACCAGCCAAGUAGCGUGAAGGAUGACUGCCCUAUGGGUUGUAAACUUCUUUUAUAUGGGAAUAAAAUGUUCCACGUGUGGGAUUUUGUAUGUACCAUACGAAUAAGGAUCGGCUAACUUCGUGCCAGCAGCCGCGGUAAUACGGAGGGUCCGAGCGUUAUCCGGAUUUAUUGGGUUUAAGGGGAGCGUAGGUGGAUUGUUAAGUCAGUUGUGAAAGUUUGCGGCUCAACCGUAGAAUUGCAGUUGAAACUGGCAGUCUUGAGUACAGUAGAGGUGGGCGGAAUUCGUGGUGUAGCGGUGAAAUGCGUAGAUAUCACGAAGAACUCCGGUUGCGAAGGCAGUUCACUGGACUGCAACUGACACUGAGGCUCGAAAGUGUGGGUAUCAAACAGGAUUAGAUACCCCUGUAGUC
rnacentral:rRNA from 1 species